AAAAAGAACCUGAAACCGUGUACGUACAAGCAGUGGGAGCACGCUUAGGCGUGUGACUGCGUACCUUUUGUAUAAUGGGUCAGCGACUUAUAUUCUGUAGCAAGGUUAACCGAAUAGGGGAGCCGAAGGGAAACCGAGUCUUAACUGGGCGUUAAGUUGCAGGGUAUAGACCCGAAACCCGGUGAUCUAGCCAUGGGCAGGUUGAAGGUUGGGUAACACUAACUGGAGGACCGAACCGACUAAUGUUGAAAAAUUAGCGGAUGACUUGUGGCUGGGGGUGAAAGGCCAAUCAAACCGGGAGAUAGCUGGUUCUCCCCGAAAGCUAUUUAGGUAGCGCCUCGUGAAUUCAUCUCCGGGGGUAGAGCACUGUUUCGGCAAGGGGGUCAUCCCGACUUACCAACCCGAUGCAAACUGCGAAUACCGGAGAAUGUUAUUACGGGAGACACACGGCGGGUGCUAACGUCCGUCGUGAAGAGGGAAACAACCCAGACCGCCAGCUAAGGUCCCAAAGUCAUGGUUAAGUGGGAAACGAUGUGGGAAGGCCCAGACAGCCAGGAUGUUGGCUUAGAAGCAGCCAUCAUUUAAAGAAAGCGUAAUAGCUCACUGGUCGAGUCGGCCUGCGCGGAAGAUGUAACGGGGCUAAACCAUGCACCGAAGCUGCGGCAGCGACGCUUAUGCGUUGUUGGGUAGGGGAGCGUUCUGUAAGCCUGUGAAGGUGUGCUGUGAGGUAUGCUGGAGGUAUCAGAAGUGCGAAUGCUGACAUAAGUAACGAUAAAGCGGGUGAAAAGCCCGCUCGCCGGAAGACCAAGGGUUCCUGUCCAACGUUAAUCGGGGCAGGGUGAGUCGACCCCUAAGGCGAGGCCGAAAGGCGUAGUCGAUGGGAAACAGGUUAAUAUUCCUGUACUUGGUGUUACUGCGAAGGGGGGACGGAGAAGGCUAUGUUGGCCGGGCGACGGUUGUCCCGGUUUAAGCGUGUAGGCUGGUUUUCCAGGCAAAUCCGGAAAAUCAAGGCCGAGGCGUGAUGACGAGGCACUACGGUGCUGAAGCAACAAAUGCCCUGCUUCCAGGAAAAGCCUCUAAGCAUCAGGUAACAUCAAAUCGUACCCCAAACCGACACAGGUGGUCAGGUAGAGAAUACCAAGGCGCUUGAGAGAACUCGGGUGAAGGAACUAGGCAAAAUGGUGCCGUAACUUCGGGAGAAGGCACGCUGAUACGUAGGUGAAGCGACUUGCUCGUGGAGCUGAAAUCAGUCGAAGAUACCAGCUGGCUGCAACUGUUUAUUAAAAACACAGCACUGUGCAAACACGAAAGUGGACGUAUACGGUGUGACGCCUGCCCGGUGCCGGAAGGUUAAUUGAUGGGGUUAGCGCAAGCGAAGCUCUUGAUCGAAGCCCCGGUAAACGGCGGCCGUAACUAUAACGGUCCUAAGGUAGCGAAAUUCCUUGUCGGGUAAGUUCCGACCUGCACGAAUGGCGUAAUGAUGGCCAGGCUGUCUCCACCCGAGACUCAGUGAAAUUGAACUCGCUGUGAAGAUGCAGUGUACCCGCGGCAAGACGGAAAGACCCCGUGAACCUUUACUAUAGCUUGACACUGAACAUUGAGCCUUGAUGUGUAGGAUAGGUGGGAGGCUUUGAAGUGUGGACGCCAGUCUGCAUGGAGCCGACCUUGAAAUACCACCCUUUAAUGUUUGAUGUUCUAACGUGGACCCGUGAUCCGGGUUGCGGACAGUGUCUGGUGGGUAGUUUGACUGGGGCGGUCUCCUCCUAAAGAGUAACGGAGGAGCACGAAGGUUGGCUAAUCCUGGUCGGACAUCAGGAGGUUAGUGCAAUGGCAUAAGCCAGCUUGACUGCGAGCGUGACGGCGCGAGCAGGUGCGAAAGCAGGUCAUAGUGAUCCGGUGGUUCUGAAUGGAAGGGCCAUCGCUCAACGGAUAAAAGGUACUCCGGGGAUAACAGGCUGAUACCGCCCAAGAGUUCAUAUCGACGGCGGUGUUUGGCACCUCGAUGUCGGCUCAUCACAUCCUGGGGCUGAAGUAGGUCCCAAGGGUAUGGCUGUUCGCCAUUUAAAGUGGUACGCGAGCUGGGUUUAGAACGUCGUGAGACAGUUCGGUCCCUAUCUGCCGUGGGCGCUGGAGAACUGAGGGGGGCUGCUCCUAGUACGAGAGGACCGGAGUGGACGCAUCACUGGUGUUCGGGUUGUCAUGCCAAUGGCACUGCCCGGUAGCUAAAUGCGGAAGAGAUAAGUGCUGAAAGCAUCUAAGCACGAAACUUGCCCCGAGAUGAGUUCUCCCUGACCCUUUAAGGGUCCUGAAGGAACGUUGAAGACGACGACGUUGAUAGGCCGGGUGUGUAAGCGCAGCGAUGCGUUGAGCUAACCGGUACUAAUGAACCGUGAGGCUUAACCUUACAACGCCGAAG
rnacentral:rRNA from 1 species